UCGAGAAUUUUUCUCAAUGGGCGCAAGCCUGAAGGAGCGACGCCGCGUGGGGGAUGAAGGGUUUCGAUCCGUAAACCCCUGUCAUUUGUGAACAAUGGUUAUUAUUUAAAAGAUGAUGACUUGAUAGUAAUGAAAGAGGAAGGGACGGCUAACUCUGUGCCAGCAGCCGCGGUAAUACAGAGGUCCCGAGCGUUGUUCGGAUUCACUGGGCGUAAAGGGUGCGUAGGUGGCUUGAAAAGUUUGAUGUGAAAGCUCAGGGCUUAACCCUGAAAUGGCAUUGAAUACUGUCGGGCUGGAGGUUUGGAGGGGGGACUGGAAUUCUUGGUGUAGCAGUGAAAUGCGUAGAUAUCAAGAGGAACACCAGUGGCGAAGGCGAGUCCCUGGACAACACCUGACACUGAGGCACGAAAGCUAGGGGAGCAAACAG
rnacentral:rRNA from 1 species